GACGAACGCUGGCGGCGUGCUUAAUACAUGCAAGUCGAGCGAACAGACGCGGAGCUUGUUGCUCUGUCGUUAGGGGCGGAGGGGUGAGUAACACGAGGAUAAUCUCCUUAUCAGUCUGGGAUAAUUACGGGAAACCGGAGCUAAUAACGGAGAAUAUACUGAACCGUAUGGUUCAUUAGUGAAAGACGGUUUUUGUGUCACUUAUAGAUGGAUCCGCGCCGGAUUAGCUAGUUGGUGGGGUAAGGGCUUACCAAGGCGAGGAUGCGUAGCCGGCCUGAGAGGGUGGUCGGCCGCACUGGAGCGGAGACACGGACCAGACACCUACGGGAGGCAGCAGUCGGGAAUGUUCCGCAAUGGGCGGAAGCCUGCCGGAGCAAGGCCGCGUGAGUGAGGAAGGUCUGCCGUUCGUUAAACACUCUUAUUAGGGAGGAACAAAUGUCUAAGUAACUAGGGGGUUCUUGACGGUACCCAGUAAAAAAGCCACGGCUAACUACGUG
rnacentral:rRNA from 1 species